rnacentral:sRNA from 1 species
GUACUGCCAGGUCUGGCAACACUUGGCCAAAGCGGGCAGGUCUGUGUUGAGGUUGCUUUAUGCAGACUAACAAAGGGAUCACUCUGCUGUGUACCUGUCCCUAUUCUAGACCCUGGUGGGCAGCAGUGGGACCAUUCUGACCACAAUGCCUGUAAUGAUGGGGCAAGAGAAAGUGCCCAUUAAGCAGGUACCUGGGGGAGUCAAGCAGCUUGAGCCCCCCAAAGAAGGAGAAAGGCGGACAACCCAUAAUAUCAUUGAGAAACGAUAUCGCUCCUCCAUCAAUGACAAAAUCAUCGAAUUGAAAGACCUGGUCAUGGGGACAGACGCCAAGAUGCACAAGUCUGGCGUUCUGAGGAAGGCCAUUGAUUACAUCAAAUACUUGCAGCAGGUCAAUCAUAAACUGCGCCAGGAGAACAUGGUGCUGAAGCUGGCAAAUCAAAAGAACAAGCUUCUAAAGGGCAUCGACCUAGGCAGUCUGGUGGACAAUGAGGUGGACCUGAAGAUCGAGGACUUUAAUCAGAAUGUCCUUCUGAUGUCCCCCCCAGCCUCUGACUCAGGGUCCCAGGCUGGCUUCUCUCCCUACUCCAUUGACUCUGAGCCAGGAAGCCCUCUGUUGGAUGAUGCAAAGGUCAAAGAUGAGCCAGACUCUCCUCCUGUGGCGCUGGGCAUGGUAGACCGCUCACGGAUUCUUCUGUGUGUCCUCACCUUCCUGUGCCUCUCCUUUAACCCCCUGACUUCCCUGCUGCAGUGGGGAGGGGCCCACGACUCUGACCAGCACCCACACUCAGGCUCUGGC